UGGCUUGUAGAUAUUAAAAAGAAA
rnacentral:piRNA from 1 species